AUCCGGCUGACGAGUCCCAAACAGGACGAAACGCGCGUCGAACUGAAU
rnacentral:hammerhead_ribozyme from 1 species